rnacentral:rRNA from 1 species
UACGUAGGGUGCAAGCGUUGUCCGGAAUUAUUGGGCGUAAAGAGCUCGUAGGCGGUCUGUCGCGUCGGAUGUGAAAAUCCAGGGCUCAACCCUGGACCUGCAUUCGAUACGGGCAGACUAGAGUUCGGUAGGGGAGACUGGAAUUCCUGGUGUAGCGGUGAAAUGCGCAGAUAUCAGGAGGAACACCGGUGGCGAAGGCGGUUCUCUGGGAAUGUCCUGACGCUGAGGAGCGAAAGUGUGGGGAGCGAACAGG